AGGAAGCCUAUCACUGGGGAAGGGUUUUAGAGUAGAGAGCCUUGCCCCACUUCCGGUUCCCUCUCUUUGUUUCCUGUUUGUGGUUGAAGAUGUGGUCAGCCGACUUCAUGCUCUGACUGCCAUGGCUGCUCACUGCCAUGCUCUCCUCACCAGUACAGAGCCCUUCAGGGACUAUAAGCCAAAAUAAACCCUUUGCUUUUGAUCAUGGUAUUUUUAUCACAGCAACAGAAAACAAACCAGAAUACACGACACUUGUUUUUAUGGCUGAGUAAUGUUCUCUUGCAAUCAGCUUCGUUCUGUUUAGCUGUCCACCCUUCGCUGCUAUGAAUAGUGUGGCUGUGAAUGUGACCAUAUGUGUUUCUUGAGACACCUGCUUCUAAUUCUUUUUAGCAUACAUUCAGGAAUGAAACUGCAGGGUCAUAUGCUAGAUCGCUGUCUAAUCUCUUGAGGGAAACACCACACUAUUGUCUCUCCUCAAGAUAUUUUGAGGAUUCACUGAGCCAACACAUUUGCAAAGCUUUUGGCACAUAACAAGAAUCCAGUAAAUCAUUGCUAAAAGAUGGAAUUCCACACAAGUUAUCAGCAGCAUGGUGCAUCUGUUGCAACAUGUGUCAUAUGUUGUAGGAGACAAUUGGGUUUUCAUGCCUCAAUUUUUGGAUGAAGACGUUUCUAUUGGGAUACUAUUCCACAUCUCUUACUCAUCCUCUCUCACUUUUUCCUAGGGAAAAAAAAAGUGACUUGCCAUCUGAAAGAUCAAAUGAGAGCGUAGCCUCACAUUUGUCCUUUCUGGUCUGGGAUGAGUGCGGAAUACACUGAUCAUAUCCUAGACAGUCCCACCACUGGUGUCUUGUGAUGUGCCCCCAUUCCUGAGCAGACUGCGUUAUACAGAGCAGUGCUUGACACCGCCCGUGGGCUGAAUGGGGUGCGUGUUCAUGCUGCGGAAGAGAGUCGAGCUUUAUGCAAUAUUAAUUCAAUAUCCUUGAGAAGUCCCUCCAUCUUUUAUCAUUUCUGCUGUUUGUAAGCUGCUCCAAAGUAAAUAAUGAUUACCUUCUGGACAAAUCUAAUACUAUUUGGUUUAUCUUGUCUUGGUAUUUACGUUGCACUAUGAACUACUUGGCCAACUACUCUCUCCAUUUCCCUCUUUCUAAGUAAAAGGUCCACAAUUCCAGAAUCCUUCUCUUUCCCUCCUUUUCUCCUCUGCUCUUUUUUUUUUUUAAAUCCCUUCCUAGUUCUACCUCCUCUCAUUCAUCUUGGGCAUCGAUCAAGACUCAUGCCACUUCAUUUGCAUAUUUACAUGAAUUUAUGGGCCCAGAUUACCCCCAAAGAAACUUCUAGAAAAGACUCCAGGUAACAGGAUCUUGUAGUAAACUGAGUAGGAUUCAGAAACUGCCAGUGCUGUAGUUUUUAUGUCAGCUUGACCCAGAUAGACUCAUUUGGGAAAAGGGAACCUCGGCCAAGAAAGUGUCCCCAGCAGAUUGGUCUGUGGGGAUUUUCUAAAUUGAUGAUUGGUGUGGGAAGGGCCAACACCCCCUUAUCCCUCACCACUAGCAGUGCAGUCCCUGGGUUGGCGGUCCUGGGUGCUGUAAGAAAGCAGUCUAAACAAGG
rnacentral:sRNA from 1 species